CCUACGGGUGGCUGCAGUGAGGAAUAUUGGUCAAUGGGCGGGAGCCUGAACCAGCCAAGUCGCGUGAGGGAAGACGGUCCUAUGGAUUGUAAACCUCUUUAGGCGGGGAGCAAUGCCUGGCACGUGUGCCCGGAGGGAGAGUACCCGCAGACUAAGCAUCGGCUAACUCCGUGCCAGCAGCCGCGGUAAUACGGAGGAUGCGAGCGUUAUCCGGAAUCAUUGGGCGUAAAGAGUUCGUAGGCGGCACGGAAAGUCUGGUGUUAAAGGCAGAGGCUCAACUUCUGUACGGCACUGGAUACUUGAGAGCUAGAAUGCGGGAGAGGUAAAGGGAAUUCCUGGUGUAGCGGUGAAAUGCUUAGAUAUCAGGAGGAACAUCGGUGGCGUAAGCGCUUUACUGGGCCGUAAUUGACGCUGAGGAACGAAAGCCAGGGUAGCAAAUGGGAUUAGAUACCCUGGUAGUC
rnacentral:rRNA from 1 species